GGAGUUGUGGCUCAGAGGAAGAGUGCCCACCUAGCAUGUAUGAAGCACUGGGUUCGAUCCUCAGCACCA
rnacentral:tRNA from 1 species